rnacentral:tRNA from 1 species
GGUGGCUCAGUGGUAGAGUGCUUGCUUUGCAUGCGUGAGGCCCUAGGUUCGAUUCCUCAGCACCA